UUAUUCAUCAUUUAUAUUAGGAUUAUUUUUUUAUCAAAUUGGAUUAUUAUUCAUUAAUAUUAGGUUUUGUUAUUAUCAAAUUGGAUUAUUAUUCAUUAAAUUAGAUUAUUAUAAAAUUGGAUUAUUAUUCAUUAAAUUGGAUUAUUCAUUAAAUUGGCUUAUUAUCAAAUUGGACUAUUCAUUAAAGCCCACUUAAUGUAGUCUCCAAACUUGACCUUAGGCCCAAAUCUCAAAUAUAACCACACUUGGGUUGGGUUGGGUUGAACCAAAAGGUCCAAAACUUAGGAAAAAAAAAAACGAAUUAUUCAUUUUUAUUCAUUAAUAUUAGGUUUUUUUUUAUUAUCAAAUUGGAUUAUUCAUUAAUAUUAGGUUUUUUUAUUAUCAAAUUGGAUUAUUCAUUAAAUUGGAUUAUUAUUAAAGUGGAUUAUUAUUA
rnacentral:lncRNA from 1 species